CCUAAGUGAUCCACCUGCCUCAGUCUCCCGAAGUGCUGGGAUUACAGGCGUGAGACACCGUGCCUGGCCAGAUGGACUUUUUUGGAGCAUUUAGUUCCAAGCACCUUCCCUGCAUUUUCUCAGUUAAUCCUCCCAGUGACUCUUUGAAGCAGGGACUAUGACAAUCGUCAUUUCACAGAUGGAGCAACUGAGGCACAGAGAGGAAGUCAAUGGCCACGGUCGCCCAGCUGAGGAAGGAUGGAGCCGGCUGAGAUCCUGUUCUGGGGAUCUAACUCUGCAGCCUGCAUUCUGGGCUGCUGUAUUCUCCCUUGUUGCUAUCUGACGAGCACAGCAUGGGCUCAGAGUACAGACAGGAGGAACCAGCUAAUAAGGAGAGGUCUAGGGUGCAGGCUGGUGCCUUGGGGAAGAAGAGAGAGGUCCCAUUCUAGAGGGAUGGCAUUGGAAGUUCAUAGUGAUAAAACAAAGCCAACAGGUUUUGGGGCUGAGAGUUAAACACACAGCUCUGGUUUCUGCCUUUUCACAGUGGUAUGAAUGAGCACUGAGAGCCUCUCGAGCUAAAGUUGUCAUCAUUGCUCUUCAUAGUCUGAAGGUGCAUGAAAUGGUCAACUUUCUUCCAAAGGGCUUUUAUGCCUAAGUCUGUGGUUAGUGUAUAAACAGAUAUUUACUGAAGUCCUGCUGGGUGCAGACACUGUGGCCAGCCCUGAGGCUACAGUUGAGAUGAAGCUAGUCUCUGUCCUCAUGGAGACCUGUCUAUUGAUAAGAAAAGAGAAAGCUCACUGAGCAUUGACCCUGUGCCCACUGCUUUUGAUACAUCUCUCAUUUAAUCCUUCUAUCAAAUCUGUGAAAUAAACACAUCACCAUCAUCCUAUUUCACAUUUAGGGAAACAUAUGCUUAGAGAGGGUAAGUAACUUGGUCAAGGUCACACAGCUUCGAUCUCUCAUCCCACAGGCGCAGGAAUGGGAGGCAGCAGCUGGGGAAGCCAGAGUCUCUGGCAGUCCUUGUCUCUGGGCGGUGAUCCAGAGAGAGAGAGAACACGAUUGUCUCAGCACUGGGUCUUCUUCUGAGUCGUCUUGAAGGAGCAAUUCCAGAGCGUCUCGGUGUUAAACAUCAUGUUGUGAAUGACUCAGUGAUCUCUGACCCAGAGACCUUGGGGAUAAAGGAGGGGAGAAAUGAGGCUUCUCCCCAGGACCAGCAUUCCACGAAGGCAGCCCUUUUCUAGAUGGAGAAAACAGAACCUGAAGACACCCGUUUCCCUAAACUGCUCUCGCUCAUGUAAACUCCUGGAGGGCAGAGGCAUGCCUGCCAUCUUCAUCAUUGCAUUACCACCACCCAACACUAUCGGGGGACCUGCCCUGAUAAUCAGUCUACAGGUGUAUCCAGCAGCUCCAGAGAGACAGCGACCAGCGAGAAGGGGCCAUGAUGAUGGUGGUGGUUUUGUCAAAACGAAAAGGGGGAUAUGUAGGGAAAAGAAAGAGAGAUCAGACUGUUACUGUGUCUACAUAGAAAGGGAAGCCAUAAGAGACUCCAUUUUGAAA
rnacentral:lncRNA from 1 species